GACGAACGCUGGCGGCGUGCUUAACACAUGCAAGUCGAACGGAAAGGCCUGCUUUCCCUUGUGGAUUGCGGGUACUCGCGUGGCGAACGGGUGAGUAACACGUGAGUGAUCUGCCCCCAACUUGGGUAUAAGCCUGGGAAACUGGGUCUAAUUCCCGAUAGGACUGCAGGGUGGUGCCUGUGGUGGAAAACGAUUUUCUAGUGGUUGGGGAUGAGCUCGCGGCCUAUCAGCUUGUUGGUGGGGUAAUGGCCUACCAAGGCGGCGACGGGUAGCCGGCCUGGGAGGGUGGACGGCCACAUUGGGACUGAGAUACGGCCCAGAAGCCUACGGGAGGCAGCAGUGGGGAAUAUGGCACAAUGGGCGGAAGCCUGAUGCAGCGACGCCGCGUGGGGGAUGACGGCCUUCGGGUUGUAAACUCCUUUCGACCGCGAGGAAGCCACCUGGUUGGAAGGGUGGUGACGGUAGUGGUAGAAGAAGCACCGGCUAACUACGUG
rnacentral:rRNA from 1 species